UACGUAGGGGGGCGAGCGUUGUCCGGAUUCAUUGGGCGUAAAGAGCUCGUAGGCGGCUUGGCAAGUCGGAUGUGAAAACUCCAGGCUCAACCUGGAGCCGCCAUUCGAUACUGCUAUGGCUAGAGUCCGGUAGGGGAGUGUGGAAUUCCCGGUGUAGCGGUGAAAUGCGCAGAUAUCGGGAGGAACACCGAUGGCGAAGGCAGCACUCUGGGCCGGCACUGACGCUGAGGAGCGAAAGCGUGGGGAGCGAACGAG
rnacentral:rRNA from 1 species